AAAAAAAUUGUAUUAAAUAAACAACUGUUGCUCGAAACGUUUCUUGGGUAUUUAUUGGAGAGUCCAAUCGUUUCAUGGAAGCCCAAAGGUAAAACAGUUGCCCCUUCCUCAAAUCUCUCACAUAACAGUACUCUCCCCCAAAUAGAAGACGAGGCAAAUUUGGAGUCAAUGGUGGCAGGCUUUCAAUUUGGAUUCCGAGUCGAAAAUCAGGGAUCAACAACGUUAUUGAUUGGCAGCAAUUAAAGGCUUCAACGACAAGACACUUUCUGCUCCCGAGAAAAUUCACGGACAGUUCAUGACUUUGCAGAAAUGUGGAACUAAACAAGUGAUGGUGACGCGCAACAUAGUGAAGAUUAUGUUGUUCAAGAUAAGUGGGUUAAAAAGGUAUAGACAAAAAAUUGGAUAUAUUACAGGUACAUGUUUAAUAGAUGCAACUCUGUUACUUGCUUCAGCCAAACAAGCAGCAUCGUGGUAGAACUUUAUUAUUGAGGUGUACCUUUGAGCUUUACUCUAUGUGCCAUAAUAAUGAGUUAUUUGACAUUGAAAUGUUAUGUUACUUGAUUACUGUCUAAAGCUAACUAUUAUAACUUAUGCAAAUAAACUAACAUGCUGAAGGAGGAUAUAAUAUCUAGAAAGAAUACAAAUAAGGAUAAAACAAUUUUACUUUAUUUUGUCUAUUUUGAAGGUACCAGUAACUUAAUUGAUAAUAAUAAACCUUGCACAAUGCUUACUCAAGCAUUAGCACAAGUUAGAUAGCACAACAAUUAGUCGUGCUUAGAAACUUUUUCUUGAAAGAAACCUUUGUUUAAUGCAAUAUUUGAAAAUUCUUGUAGCUAAGGUGAGCAUUAACAAGGUUUUUUUCAUCUUAGGAAUAAAUUUAUAGUAUGCAGAAGGUACAUUUUGUUUGAAAUUGAUUGAAAAGAUAGUUUUUGCUCAGUUAUAUACUCUAACAAAGAUAAUUACAUAUACCAAUUGGGAAUUUCAGAAAUUAUUGCAUAGGUUUUGUCAGUCAAAUGGUUGGAGGCCUAUCCUUUUGUGACAUUUUUUUGAGGAGUAUAUUCAGGUGUCCGCUUAUGCAAAAGAUAGUUUUGUACAUUAAAAUAUAAAUUAACAUGUUUAUAUAUUAUUUUGUGCACUGUUAAUUUUUUUAUUCUAUAAUCUGAAGUAAUCAUAUUCUGCUGGCUCUUUUUAAAUAUGAAAAGGAAAGGAUUGGAACUUUUGAAAAAAGCUUUUAUGGUGUUCCAGUUUUUCAGGUACACUCUCUCCAAUUAUUUGUGGCACCUCUCUUAGACCAGAAAAAGCUAUUUAUCUUUAACUUCCUUUCUUUGCCUUUAUCUCCCAAUUAUUUAGUUGUUCGAUCUUCCAAGUUAUUGUUUAUUUAUUGUGCAAUUAGAGAGAGUAAUAAAAAGUUAUAAAUGCGUUAAUUUUUUAACGGGGUCCUAAAGAGAUGUACAUAAUAACUUAUUACAAUUAAUUGCUUAAAACUUCUGGCUUCUCAUUCUAUAGUGCAGAGUAUCGUCAAAAAUAUAUAUAUAAUAAAGAACACCACCAUCACUCUUAACCUUGAUAGCCAAUGCAUCCUCUUAACCAAUUACAGGUAAUUCUUACUUUACUAUUAGAUUGUUUUUGCUACUUCUUUUACCCUUCAAAGCUUAAAUUUGUUUCACCUUGGCAAUAUUUCUUUUGAGAGCAAUACUUGGACAUAUCGUGGAAGGAGAUGCACUUUCUUUAAAAAAAAACUUUCAAUAUUUUGUGUUACCUAACUAAUUAUAUUCUUUAUUUUGUGAUAAAUUAUUGGAAUUUAUCUGAUUGUAUGAUAUGAGGAUUUUAAGGAUGUUGCAGGAACUAUUUUAGAGGGAAAAGCAAUUGAAAAUCUAUAAGCAUCCAUUAUAUUCUCUCGCUUUCUUCUCAUAAAGUUGUGCUCACAGUCUUUGUGUUUGUGUAUAUGUAUGAGAUCUUUUUUUUUAUACAAAUUACAUAUAUGUAUGCCAUUUGGAUACACAAAGGAAUUACGCAAUUAAAUUCUUAUUUUCAAUCUACAAUUUAAAUGGAUUUGGUAUAUGUGAUUGUGUCAAUGGGUUCAUCCUGGUGUGUCAAGUGGGAGAAAUACCUUUGUUUGUAACUGAAAAUGUGUUGUACAUUUUAUUAUUUCUCCUGCAUAAUAUUGGAAAUAUAUCAUCAGACAUAUUCUAUGUCGUUUUUA